GGAGGUGGAGGACUGCGCCUGCCCGCCCGGGUACCGCGGGGCCUCCUGCCAGGACUGUGACACCGGCUACACCCGCAGCAGCGCCGGGCUCUACCUGGGCACGUGUGAGCCGUGCCAGUGCCACGGCCACGCCAGCGAGUGCCACCCCGACACCGGCGUCUGCCAGGGCUGCCGGGAUCACACAGAGGGACCCCAGUGUGACAAGUGCCAGCCCGGCUACUACGGCGAUGCCACCCG